CCUACGGGAGGCAGCAGUGGGGAAUAUUGGACAAUGGGCGAAAGCCUGAUCCAGCCAUGCCGCGUGAGUGACGAAGGCCUUAGGGUUGUAAAGCUCUUUUGGCGGGGACGAUAAUGACGGUACCCGCAGAAUAAGCCCCGGCUAACUUCGUGCCAGCAGCCGCGGUAAUACGGAGGGGGCUAGCGUUGUUCAGAAUUACUGGGCGUAAAGGGCGCGUAGGCGGCCUGCCAAGUCAGGGGUGAAAGGCCCGGGCUCAACCCGGGAACUGCCCUUGAAACUGGCAAGCUAGAGUCCGAGAGAGGAUGGCGGAAUUCCCAGUGUAGAGGUGAAAUUCGUAGAUAUUGGGAAGAACACCGGUGGCGAAGGCGGCCAUCUGGCUCGGCACUGACGCUGAGGCGCGAAAGCGUGGGGAGCAAACAGGAUUAGAUACCCCGGUAGUCCUAGCUGUAAACGAUGGGUACUAGGUGUAGGGGGUAUCGAUCCCCCCUGUGUCGCAGCUAACGCAUUAAGUACCCCGCCUGGGGAGUACGGUCGCAAGGCUGAAACUCAAAUGAAUUGACGG
rnacentral:rRNA from 1 species